rnacentral:lncRNA from 1 species
GAAAAAUGCGAAGAGGAUUUAAAAACAGGUUGGCAGAGCAUAAGAAGAAGCCACACUACAUGGCGCAUCUAAAAGUGGUCCAUAGUUGUUUCUACAGGUGGUCCCAUAACAACUUUUGACACAUGAAGGUAGUUGAAUAUUUGAUGUUGACCGACGUGGUACUUACCAUCUGGCCACAAGAAGAACAUAGCUGAAAUGACAGAAAUUUCCCUUAGUAUUUAGAGCUGAAAUUACCAAAAUAUCCCCAAUUGUAACAGUAUAUAAAUAGAAUGAGAAUCACCAUUGUACAAUACGUUCAAAACAUUAGUAGAAACUCUACCAAAAUCAA